rnacentral:rRNA from 1 species
AUACGGAGGAUGCGAGCGUUAUCCGGAUUUAUUGGGUUUAAAGGGAGCGUAGGCGGACGCUUAAGUCAGAUGUGAAAGUCUGCGGCUCAACCGUAAAAUUGCAGUUGAUACUGGGUGUCUUGAGUACAGGAGAGGCAGGCGGAAAUUGUGGGGUAGCGGUGAAAUGCUUAGAUAUCUCGAAGAACUCCGCAUGCGAAGGCAGCCUGCUGGACUGUAACUGACGCUGAUGCUCGAAAGUGUGGGUAUCAAACAGGAUUAGAUACCCUGGUAGUCCACACAGUAAACGAUGAAUACUCGCUGUUUGCGAUAUACAGUAAGCGGCCAAGCGAAAGCGUUAAGUAUUCCACCUGGGGAGUACGCCGGCAACGGUGAAACUCAAAGGAAUCGACGGGG